UCCUCCAGUUCAUCUUCUCAGUGUGCAGCUCUCUGCAGGAGAACCGGAGCUCACACAUCUCUCAAACCUCCCGUUUGCCUUUCGAGGCCGUGGCUGCCGUUUAAUCCGGGUCUCGGGGUAAAUUCAACAUUUUGAUCUUUUGAUAACAACUCUUAACAGGUACAGUAAUAUUGGAGUUAAUCAUCAGGACUCCUGGAUUUCCUUUUUUUCGAUGUUGUGAUUGUGUACCAAAGGCUCACGUGCUUCGUAUUGUGCCAUUGUUCCCCCCCCCCCUCCCCGCCUCGGUUUCUCUGGGACCUUUUGUUCACAGCACAUUGUGUUCCCCUGACUAGCCGCGGUUUAAGGAAGACGAGGCGCCGGUGGCCCGUCUGUGGCGAUAGCAGCGACCCCUGUGGUCUGCGGUCACGCUCUGCAGGUUGCAGGGGAAGUCACCGUGCGGCGUGUGAAUAAAAAGCUCCUCCUAAUCUUCCAUCCAAUCUGCAGAAAAUCAAGAUCAGAGCCACUGAACCAAAUCUUUGUUUUCUCUGCUUCCCUCGGUGCUCCCGAGGAGCGGAGCUGUCAGCAACGCAGAGAGAGAGAGGGAGGGAGAGACGGGGUGAAGAAGAGAGGCGCGAGGGAGGGAGAGGAACGCCGGGGGAGAGGCAUGCGGUGAAAGUGUCGGGAAGAAAGCGGGAGGGAGCGAGAGAGGGAGGAAUGAUGGACAAAGAGCCGCACUGCGAGGGCUGUCUGGCGGCGUCCUUCGAAGCGAAAACGCACGACCGGGGAAGAAGCUCUGGGAGAAGCGAGCAGGAGCUGCUGGGAGCACACUGUAUGCACGAUGCCAUUCGGCUAUUCUAAACCUGGAUACUCAAACAGGGAGAGAGAGAAAUGAAACAGAAGGUGCAGGACAUGCUGACGGAGCGAUGGAAGAGGACAGCGGAGCAGAAGGAAGAAAGAUGGAUGACAAGCGAGGGAGGGAUCUUUCCUCGCCCAGAUGGCGUGCAGACGAUGGCACUUCUGCGCUGCUCUCCAGGAAACUUCCAGUGAUCGGCCCGUACGCAAAGAGGUCAACUGCAGCCCGAGGCGGCGCGCUAUUACUCGGCAAACAAGAAAAGAAAAAAAAGGAUAAAUUGAAGAAAAACAAAAAAAAGCAAACACGCAGCUACUCAAGCUGCUGAUUCAUUUGCGCUGCUUUCCCUCCCGAAGCUGCUGUGAUCUAUGCGGGGCGAUAUUUCAGACAGCAGCGAAUAUGACUGCCAUAAAUAAAACAGUAUUAAUCAUCCCAACUCCCAUUUGAGGCCCUUCUCACAUUUAUCAGGCUUUUAAUAUUAACAUAGAUUAAGGGCAUGUCACUGUACGUAAUCUUGCUCCAGAUAAGAGCUCUGCCAAAAAGGCCUUUGUUGCACUUUGGGAUGUGCAACAUAAUAUCCAACACGGCAUCGAUGCAGACAUUCCUCUGAGAGACGGUAUUAUAUAUCUAUAUCUGUAUAUGUAUAUGUACAUGUAGGUGAAGUGAGUCAAUGUGUUUAAAGUCUCAGCUCUCUAGAUUUUUUAAAUAUUGCAUUAAGGUCUGAAAAUGUAAUCUUUCUGCUGGUCUUUACAUUUUCAUAGAAUCACGUCAUCUCAAUUAAAGUAUCACUCUUCUUAUGCUU